rnacentral:lncRNA from 10 species
UUGUUUGUUUUAUACAGGAAUAUAUAUGUGUGUAUAUAUAUAUAAAAUUCUGGGAAAGAGAAGAAUCUUGAUUUUGUUCUCUUUGAUUUCCCCUGCUGCAAAGAUAAUGUGAGUUUAGGGUACUGUGUAUAUAUUUUAUUAUAAAUUACAGUCAUAAGCUAUGUAUAAAAUUUUUGAGAAAGGAAAAAGUGAUUAAUGCAUAGCAUAAAAUGUACAUAUACAAUUAUUUUAUAUGUAAUUUAUAGUUACAUAUAAUUGCUAAUACAUAUACAGUUGAAGCCAUUUCAUAGUCUAGCUCUGUUGUUAGUAGAAAAGUGAUAGGUGAUCAUGGCUACAAAUAUGUCCAUAAUUUUCACAAAUAAUAAAGGGGGAAAUUGAGAAUUUUUAUUGCAAUCUCAUGAUGAAACAUUGGGACUAAACGAAGACAGAAGGAAAGAUAUAAACUAUGCAGAGAAGUGCUUUUGGGCAUAAAAAGGUACUAUGCAGAGAAGUACUUUUAUGCAUAAAGUGCUUUUAUGCACUGUGUCAUCAGUUCUUAAAACAGGGCCUUGUACGUAGGUGCUUACUGAGUGGUUCUUUAAUGAAUAACCAAUGCAAGAUCCAGUGCGGCCAUUAAGAGUGAAUAACAGUUUCACUUACAUACAUUAUCUCAUUUAAGUCUCUCAAAAUCUUGUCACAUAAGCAAGUGUGAUUUUAUAAUUUAAAAGGAGAAGGUGUGAGGAAUAAUAUUAUGUAGAUUUGAUCUGUUUUUUGUACUGUAAUGUUAAUUAUUCCACAAGUAUCAAAUGGCACUUACCACUCAUAAAUGAUGUAUUUGUAAUUUUUGUUACUCCUAGGGAUUAAGACUAACUACAUAGAUUCUUCUUUAAUGUUUGCUAAAUUUAAGUUGUUGUGUAUUCAUACUUUGAGACGUGAAACAAAUAUAACCCACCCCAGAGAGCCUCAUUUUCUGAUUUGUUUUUCUCUUCUGGGUUUAUAUCUAUAUUAGCCCUUUUUAUAUUGUGGUGCAAUCAAAUAUUCAAAUAUCUUCAGCCCUAAUUUGAGUCAGAGCAACAUGAGAUGGCAGGAAAAAAAGAAUCUGUUAAACAAUUGUUGAUUCUACCCAAAAAAGCAUAAAUGUUUCUCUUAUUAAAAAUAAAAUAAAUUAAAAUUGAUUAAUUUUUAAAAAUAUUUUUAAAAAAUGUUUUAAUUUGUUAAGAGUAAAUGAAUAUAUUUAUUGGCAUUUUAUGUCUAAGAAGUUUGUUUUUGGUUAUCUAGCAUGUAAGUGUGG